rnacentral:rRNA from 1 species
UACGUAGGGAGCGAGCGUUGUCCGGAAUUACUGGGUGUAAAGGGUGCGUAGGCGGGCAGACGAGUCAGAUGUGAAAUACCGGGGCUCAACCCCGGGGCUGCAUUUGAAACUGUAGGUCUUGAGUGAGGUAGAGGUAAGCGGAAUUCCUAGUGUAGCGGUGAAAUGCGUAGAUAUUAGGAGGAACACCGGUGGCGAAGGCGGCUUACUGGGCCUCUACUGACGCUGAGGCACGAAAGCGUGGGGAGCAAAC